GUGAACGCUGGCGGUAGGCCUAACACCUGCAAGUCGAACGGCAGCACCGUAAGAGCUUGCUCUUACGGGUGGCGAGUGGCGGACGGGUGAGGAAUACAUCGGAAUCUACUUUUUCGUGGGGGAUAACGUAGGGAAACUUACGCUAAUACCGCAUACGACCUACGGGUGAAAGCAGGGGAUCUUCGGACCUUGCGCGAUUGAAUGAGCCGAUGUCGGAUUAGCUAGUUGGCGGGGUAAAGGCCCACCAAGGCGACGAUCCGUAGCUGGUCUGAGAGGAUGAUCAGCCACACUGGAACUGAGACACGGUCCAGACUCCUGCGGGAGGCAGCAGUGGGGAAUAUUGGACAAUGGGCGCAAGCCUGAUCCAGCCAUACCGCGUGGGUGAAGAAGGCCUUCGGGUUGUAAAGCCCUUUUGUUGGGAAAGAAAAGCAGCAGGUUAAUACCCCGCUGUUCUGACGGUACCCAAAGAAUAAGCACCGGCUAACUUCGUG
rnacentral:rRNA from 1 species